AAGGCACCUUAAAUUUAUUCUUGAGAUUUCAUAUUUUAUCAGUGAUAUCUCAACCCCGUCUGUUUGAUCGGUUCCUACCAAAUGAAGCACGAAGACAUAAAGAAUAAAAGAAAAGAUGCAUUACCGUUUGAGUUUGGAAAUGGGCUUGAAGAGGGAUGGGUAGAUUGGGUGAAAACUAAGCAUUGUAUCCACUUUGUUUUUGAAGACAUCCAAAAAAAUGAGAAACAAACACAAGGAACAGGUUUUACAACACUUAGAAUUAAUCAACUACACUUUGGUCUACCCCUACCAGCUAGCAAUUUAUUCGUAAAGGAAGUUAUCUUCAACUCCUAAAGUUCUCUAUUGUUGUUCUGUAAUUGCAGGUUUUAAGAGCUUGCUGGUACCUUUUGUCAAUUGAGAGACAAGAAGCAUGCUGGAGAUAUACCUGCAGUCUUGAGAACCAAUCUUCUGACACUGGUUUAUGAGUUUAAGCCGGAAAACAAGGCUCUAAAAGAGCGUUUGCUUCCUUCUUGGUCCUUUUCUUCCCGUCGUGUAUCAAAAGAAUUCAUGGACACUCAGCAAUUGGCUACACACGCGUUCAUGUCCCACAAGUUCAGGUUGAGAGCAGAGCACCUGAGUCUUCACAAAGCAAUUUGUGUUCUGUUAGGGUGGAAAAGUGGGGUGGCCCCUGAUGUUAGCACAUGGGUUCUGGAGCAUAUUCCUUAUAAAGAAGCCAUGGCUCAGAAGGAGGAUGUCAUUCUCUGGCGGUCUUCCUCGUUCAUAACAGUUCUAUAGAAGAAAAUAAAGUGGAUGAGCAGCAAGUCGUAAGUUUAGACGCAGUUGGAAACUUUCUUAGAGGUGAGUGUCUUAUAUCUAUGGUGAAUAGAUCAAAUGUGAUGCUUCAAAACUGAAUUGCAAUUUUGAACCUAUAUGGUUAUGGGUGUCGCUUUCUUUAUGAGAUUUGAACCAAUGUAUGUUAUAUGGUCAUAGUGGUAAGGUUCUUGGGUAUGUUUUCUGGUUUGCAAGAUGCAGAGGGGCUUCACAAAUAUUUUGUCGACGACAAGCGUGGAAGAGAUUUUGGGCGAGGGGACCCCCAGUUCCAGCAAGGGCAAAAGCAGCAGCAGUAAUGAGGUAGCUGGGAAAAAGAAUGUGGAGCUUUAUGGAUACAUGGGGAUUUCUGAGGACUUUGGAUAAAAUCGAUAUAGAUACAAAGAGAAAGUGUUAAAUAAAGAGCAAGAAGGAGAUCCAUAAUCUUGAAAAUGCUCCUGUUAAACCCGAAUGAGCGUGGGGCAUUUACUACGACAGAGAAGUUCUUCUGACCAAAAAACAGAUUUUGAUUUACAGUUUAUGUUUAGACAUGAGUGAUUGAUUUUGAUGGUUUGGAUAGGAAGCGGUUGUUUAAACUUCCGGUCUACCCAGGAUACGUGGCAUUCACAAAAGAUUUUGCAACUUCCGGUCUACCCAGGAUACGUGGCAUUCACAAAAGAUAUUGCUUACGUUAAAGAAAUUCAUCUACUAUUUUAAAUCUUGCUGAGAAGUGAUAUAAACAAAUGUUGCGUUGUGUUU